rnacentral:rRNA from 1 species
AUUGAACGCUGGCGGCAGGCCUAACACAUGCAAGUCGAACGAGUGGCGGACGGGUGAGUAAUGUCUGGGAAACUGCCUGAUGGAGGGGGAUAACUACUGGAAACGGUAGCUAAUACCGCAUACCAUCAGAUGUGCCCAGAUGGGAUGAGCUUGUUGGUGGGGUAACGGCUCAACAAGGCGACGAUCCCUAGCUGGUCUGAGCGGAUGACAAGCCAUACUGGAGCUGAGACACGUUCCAGACUCCUACGGGGGGCAGCAGUGGGGAAUUGUGCACCAUGGGAGCAAGCCUGAUGCAGCCAUGCCGCGUGUAGGAAGAAGGCCUGAGGGUUGUAAAGUACUUUCAGCGGUGAGGCGUUACCCGCAGAAGAAGCACCGGCUACUUCCGGGCCAGCAGCCGCGGUAAUC